rnacentral:rRNA from 1 species
GUUGCAGUUAAAAAGCUCGUAGUUGGAUUUCGGGAUGGGCCAGUCGGUCCGCCUAACGGUGUGUUUACUGGCUGGUCUGUUCUUCUUCGCAAAGACUGCGUGUGCACUUUACUGUGUGUGCGUAGGAUUUACGACGUUUACUUUGAAAAAAUUAGAGUGUUCAAAGCAGGCAUACCGCUUGAAUACAUGAGCAUGGAAUAAUGGAAUAGGACUUUGGUCUUAUUUUGUUGGUUUCUGAGACCGAAGUAAUGAUUAAGAGGGACAGUUGGGGGCAUUCGUAUUUCGUUGUCAGAGGUGAAAUUCUUGGAUUUACGAAAGACGAACGAUUGCGAAAGCAUUUGCCAAGAAUGUUUUCAUUAAUCAAGAACGAAAGUUAGAGGAUCGAAGACGAUCAGAUACCGUCCUAGUUCUAACCAUAAACGAUGUCGACUAGGGAUCAGCGAACGUCUAAUGCGACUUCGUUGGCACCUUACGGGAAACCAAAGUUUUUGGAUUCCGGGGGAAGUAUGGUUGCAAAACUGAAACUUAAAGGAAUUGACGGAAGGGCACCACCAGGAGUGGAGCCUGCGGCUUAACUUGACUCAACACGGGAAAACUCACCAGGUCCAGACAUANUAAGGAUUGACAGGUUGAGAGCCCUUUCUUGAUUCUAUGGGGUGGUGGU